rnacentral:rRNA from 1 species
GGUUAGGGCAGAAGAAUCCGUACCACAAACCGACACAGGUGGACAAGAUGAGUAUUCUCAGGCGCUCGGGUGAUGGUCUGCGAAGGAACUAGGCAAAUUAGCUCCGUAACUUCGGGAGAAGGAGUGCCCACCUCAGACGUGGGUCGCAGUGAAUAGCGUCAGGCGACUGUUUAACAAAAACACAGGUCUCUGCUAAGUCAAAAAAACGACGUAUAGGGGCUGACGCCUGCCCGGUGCCGGAAGGUUAAAAGGAGGGGUUAGUCGCAAGGCGAAGCUCUGAAUUGAAGCCCCGGUGAACGGCGGCCGUAACAAUAACGGUCCUAAGGUAGCGAAAUUCCUUGUCGGGUAAGUUCCGACCUGCACGAAUGGCGUAACGAUCUGACGACUGUCGGCGCAGGCCGCCCGGCGAACUUGUGGUUCCGGUGAAGACGCCGGAUGCCCGCCACUAGACGGAAAGACCCCGUGCACCUUUACUAUACUUUAACAAUGAAUUAUGGGAUGGACUGCGUAGGAUAGGUGGGAGGCUUUGAACCCGGAUUCUUGGAUUCGGGGGAGCCAAUGGUGAAAUACCACCCUGUUUAUUCUGUGAUUCUAACCUACCGACCUGAUCGGCCGGAGGGACAUUGUUAGACGGGUAGUUUGACUGGGGCGGUCGCCUCCAAAAUUGUAACGGAGGCGUGCGAAGCUUGGUUCAGGAGGUUUGGAAAUCCUCCUUCGAGUGCAAUAGCAUAAACCAGGUUGACUGUGAGACCUACAAGUCAAGCAGCUGCGAAAGCAGGCUAUAGUGAUCCGGUGAUUCUGUAUGGAAGGGUCAUCGCUCAACGGAUAAAAGGUACGCCGGGGAUAACAGGCUGAUCGGAGUCAAGAGUUCAUAUCGACGCUCCGGUUUGGCACCUCGAUGUCGGUUCAUCGCAUCCCGGGGGUGUAGAAGCUCCCAAGGGUUAGGCUGUUCGCCUAUUAAAGCGGUACGUGAACUGGGUUCAGAACGUCGCGAGACAGUUCGGUCUCUAUCUGUGGUGGGCGUAGGAAAUUUGAAAGGAUCUGCCUUUAGUACGAGAGGACCGAGGUGGACGAACCUCUUGUGAUCCAGUUGUCCCGCCAGGGGCACCGCUGGGUAGCGAAGUUCGGUUAGGAUAAGCGCUGAAUGCAUAUAAGCGCGAAACCUUCCUUAAGAUGAGAUUUCCCAAGCGCAAGCUAUGAAGGGCCGUGGAAGACGACCACGUAGAUAGGCUGGGUGUGUAAGCGUAGUAAUACGUUAAGCUGACCAGUACUAAUCGCCCGUUCGGCUUGACC